GUGACGACCCGAAGCCCCGCCCCCUCGCCGCCGCGUUGCGUUCGACGCAGACCCAGCUUGAGAGAGUGAGAGGGACGAAAAGAGAGGAGGUAGGUUCUGGUCACGUGAUGAGGGCGUAGACGUUGCGAGCUCGUCACGUGGCGUCGGAACGUCCCCCUCCCCUUUCCACGCCUUUGCUUGGUCAUGUGACAGUGGCAAAUUCGGACUCCUCCUUGGCCACGUGAUGAGGACUGUUCGCUUUCCCUGCGUUGUAUUGGUCGGCCUACAUCAUGUGACGACGUCAGCGCUCUCUUAUUGACGGUUUUGAGCCGCCUUUUCACGUAAUUCCGGGCGAGUGGCUGGUCCUCACUGAAGCGCGGAGUUUACGCUCAUGCGCGGCCACCAUCUUAAACCCGCCGCCAUGUGUACGUUGGCGGAAACGCCUCUGGGAAUCUGGCCCGUUACCGCCCUCAUAAUAGCUGGAUCUCUGCGGAGGAGGCGUUUCCUCGAAAGGCGGCCUGCCCGCCGAGCUUCCAACCCCCUCCCCGCAUCUCCGCAAGGAGCGGAGAAGACCCGAGAUGGAGACACUGAGGCACUGCGAAAAAAAAGACUUGAGGGUUCACGGGAGAACCGGUGCUGGGACUCAGACGCUGGGCCACCAGUUUGGUCUUAUAAAGAAAGAUCCUGGGGACCGAG